GAUGAACGCUGGCGGCGUGCCUAAUACAUGCAAGUCGAGCGAACGGAUAAGGAGCUUGCUCCUUUGAAGUUAGCGGCGGACGGGUGAGUAACACGUGGGUAACCUACCUAUAAGACUGGAAUAACUUCGGGAAACCGGAGCUAAUGCCGGAUAACAUUUGGAACCGCAUGGUUCUAAAGUAAAAGAUGGUUUUGCUAUCACUUAUAGAUGGACCCGCGCCGUAUUAGCUAGUUGGUAAGGUAACGGCUUACCAAGGCAACGAUACGUAGCCGACCUGAGAGGGUGAUCGGCCACACUGGAACUGAGACACGGUCCAGACUCCUACGGGAGGCAGCAGUAGGGAAUCUUCCGCAAUGGACGAAAGUCUGACGGAGCAACGCCGCGUGAGUGAUGAAGGUUUUCGGAUCGUAAAACUCUGUUAUUAGGGAAGAACAAAUGUGUAAGUAACUGUGCACAUCUUGACGGUACCUAAUCAGAAAGCCACGGCUAACUACGU
rnacentral:rRNA from 1 species